AGAGUUUGAUCAUGGCUCAGGACGAACGCUGGCGGCGUGCUUAACACAUGCAAGUCGAACGGGCCUGGGGGCAACUCCAGGUCAGUGGCGGACGGGUGCGUAACACGUAAGUAACGUGUCCUUCGAUGGGGGAUAGCCGGCCCAACGGCCGGGUAAUACCGCAUACGGUCUCCCGUGGCAUCGCGGGUGACGAAAGUGGGGGCAACCUCACGUCGAUGGAGCGGCUUGCGGCCUAUCAGCUAGUUGGUGAGGUCAUGGCUCACCAAGGCUACGACGGGUAGCUGGUCUGAGAGGAUGAUCAGCCACAUUGGGACUGAGACACGGCCCAGACUCCUACGGGAGGCAGCAGUGGGGAAUCUUGCGCAAUGGGCGAAUGCCUGACGCAGCGACGCCGCGUGUGGGAUGAAGGCCUUCGGGUUGUAAACCACUGUCGGGGGGGACGAAGGCCCGGCCGGUAACUCGGACCGGGAUUGACGGUACCCUCAAAGGAAGCACCGGCUAACUCCGUGCCAGCAGCCGCGGUAAUACGGAGGGUGCGAGCGUUGUCCGGAAUCACUGGGCGUAAAGGGCGCGUAGGCGGCUGGGUAAGUCAUGCGUGAAAUUCCGGGGCUCAACCCCGGAACGGCGUGUGGGACUGCCCGGCUAGAGCACGGUAGAGGCGAGUGGAAUUCCAGGUGUAGCGGUGGAAUGCGUAGAUAUCUGGAAGAACACCGGUGGCGAAGGCGGCUCGCUGGGCCGUUGCUGACGCUGAGGCGCGAAAGCGUGGGGAGCAAACAGGAUUAGAUACCCUGGUAGUCCACGCUGUAAACGAUGGGCACUAGGCGUCGGGGGGAGCGACCCCCUCGGUGCCGUCGCUAACGCAAUAAGUGCCCCGCCUGGGGAGUACGGCCGCAAGGCUGAAACUCAAAGGAAUUG
rnacentral:rRNA from 1 species